ensembl:lncRNA
GUGAGUUAGCCCUGCAGGAGGAUGAGGCAGGAAUUGAGACGCUAUAAGUGGACUAAGUGGCCAAAGCCUGUGACAUUAAGGAGUAGGAAAGGAUGCUGAGAGGAUAAUCUCAGAGAUGCAGCUCUCCAGCUGAUGAAAAUCAGAAGAGCCAGAUAAUCACUGAGAGGGAUUCCCACCUAGAAAGAAGGCAAUUGCAGGGGCUUUAAGAAAAAGGGUGCAGUAGUUGCUCCAGUUCUGCCUGUCAUUCCUGCACCACUGCCUUUCCAAGCACUGUCUCUUAAGAUGCUGGAGGAGGGGCUGAGGCCCUUUUAAUGAAGUGAAAGGAUGAGCGGGAGGCUGACCAGAACAGCAGUGGAAAGAGCAAAGACACAUGCUGAGAGCCCUGUGCAUGGGGAAACCAGAGCCGCAGCUUGUUCCAGACCCCGGAGCCUCUGAAGCACAGAUGUCUCCAGGAAAUCUUCACGCUUCACCCCAACAGAGCUCUGGCCAGGAAAAGAAUCUCCUUGGUCUAUUUUAAGUUGUAAAAGGAAAGAAUAUGAGACUCUUCCUAAAUUCUUGAAACCGGUAUCUGGGCCUCUGGGAAUGAAGAAAGACUCUGACUGUGACUGCAUUUAGGGCUCUGGCUGCUGUACAUCUACAUCUUGACAAGUUGACAUCUUUCAAAGACCUUCAGCAAGAAGUUCCCAGCAGAAGCAGAGACUAGAAAGGUGUUCUCAGCUGAGCAGCAGCUCAUCGCGUUGGCAUUUCCUUACAGAGGAUCACAGAAUUACGAAGGUUGGAAAAGAGCACUAAGAUCAUCUAGCCCAGCUGUCAACCCAUUGCCACCAUGCCCACUAAGCCGUGUCCCUAAGUGGGUGCUCAUUGCUUCAGGUCACACAGAAUCCUACUUUUUGCCCUUUGGGGAUCACUUGCUGCCGAUUCCCAACACGGCCACGCACGAGCUCUACCAGCUUUCAACCACACCUCCUAUUUCAGAUUCAUGCAGGGAGCUUGAAGUCGAUUCCUACCCCAAGAAUAAACACCAUUAAAAUCAAACAGCCACUCGAAAUCUGUCACAUACAGGACUCUGGGACAACAGAGAAAAGUUACUUCUGAAGCCAUUCUCCCGUUAUCUCUCUUAUUGCCAGAAGAAGGAGUGG